CCUAUUUGAAAGCAAACCCAGCCUUACUCCCGAGGAAACGAACAGAAAGCUCGCGGCCGUCCUUACACGGGGAUCUGCCCUAGCUUAAAAAAGCCGGCGCCCGCUUCCAGGAGAAGCAACCGGCGAAACUCGCUAAGGUUUACUCCCGAGUAAACCCACCGCGCCCAGGCUAAAGGCGCCCUCCGCCCAAGGUCAAAUGGCAGCGACUUCUGAAGGGCUUCCUUCCGAGGAAAGGCGGGUGCUCAUUGUAAUAAAGCAAUUGAAUAUUUCUCACUUGGACAAAUUGCAAAAUGAUAUUUAACUUGAACAAGAGAAAUUUGUAUCCCAGUUUUUAUUCUGCAAUGAAACUCCAAUGUUGAUCUGAAGCUAAUCGCUUCUCUGGAUAAUCUUCAUGGGGCUGCUUUAAGUAUCAGAUAAAAUCAUUUUACAUGCUUGUCUUUGAUGCCUUUUGGAGUAAAAUAUAAAAACAACUCUAUCUACAUUUAACUCUUAAAUAACUCUACAUCUGAGUUGGGCUGUGUUUAUUUUGGGAUUUGUUUAUUUCCACAAGAUAUCCCCCAAAUUAUAGUGUACAUUUUCUAAUAUACUUGUAUUAUUAGUAGAAAUGCUUUAAAUCAAUGCUUUUCAACUCUGACAACUUUAAGAUGCCUGGACUUCAAUUCCCAGAAUUCCCCAGCCGGCAUCUUAAAGUUGUGAAGAUUUAAAAAUACUGCUUCAGAUUAAACAAGGUCCUGGUAUUUAAUGGAUUUCUGCACACUUUUAUUUGAACCCAUUUUUAAAAUGUUAUUGUACAUGGAUCUUGUUUUGUGUUUUGCUGUAGAGCUAACCCCUGGUUACAGGGCCAAAAGAAUGCCAGAUGCAAUGUUGCUCAAUUUUUUAUUUUUCCAGUAUGUAUUUUUCCUUCCAUCUUACAUAGAUGUAUUUGUAAUUUUAUAUGAAAAACUGUUUGAAAAUAUAUACAUAUUUUCUGCACAUAUGCCCUAAUCUUUUUCCUAUUAGUGCACAUUUUGCAAAUGAUUGUCUUGUAUUUUCAUUAUUUUUGUGCAUUAUUUUCAGAAAAAGGCAUUUUUGUGUCUACUUUUCGCUAAUAUGUAAAUGUCCAUAUUAGUAUUUUUAUUCUAAAACUUGUGCUGCAAAACUUGGUCAAAUGAAAAUACUAAAGAAAAAUUGUUUCUGUCCAUAUAUAAAUCUAUAUAAUGUAAAUAAAGUGAUUCUGCAUUAAAA